CGUAUUAAUAAACUGACUGGUGCAAAUAUUACGGCCUACCCUGAUUACGAGGAAGAAUAUGAUUUACUGAAGCGCCAUUGGUGGCAGUGCAAUGGCCCCUGUGGAGAAAUAGAAA